rnacentral:RNase_P_RNA from 1 species
ACACUCGGGUAAUCGCUGGGCUUUAUGCUCAGAGGAAAGUCCAUGCUCGCACAGUCUGCGAUGACUGUAGUGAUCGUGCCUGACCAAUUCAUAAGUCAGGGCAGCCAAUCAGGCUGACGGCAGGGAAAAGGCCUACUUUCUUUUUAAGAAUAUGGCCCAGUACCCUUGAAAGUGCCACAGUGACGAAGUCUGACCUGGAAACGGGCAGAGUGGAACGCGGUAAACCCCACGAGCGAGAAACCCAAAAUAUGGUAGGGGCAUCCCUUCGAAGGAACUGAACGGAGAAGGGGGCAGGCAGCUUGCCUGGAGACAGAUGGUUACCACCGGAGUACGAGGGCUUUCGGCCCGCUUGUAGUACGAUGGAACAGAACAUGGCUUACAGAG